GAGUGUUUUUGGAGAGGAAGUGCCCAUCUGUAGUCAAUAGCUAUUGUUCUCAUGGAACCACAUGCCGGCCUCCCUGCAGCCUGCCGAACUGCGUCACGACACUGCAGUAUCAGCCCCUUUGAAUAAAGACUCCCUGUUGAACCAGAUUUACCCACCCUACCAUUUUCACUGUCAUUUGAUUAUCUGCUUGUAUUUUCUGGCUGUGCUAAUGCAGUCUUUUAGCAGUGUUAUCAGAGAAUCCCUAUGGCUCGAUACCUUGCAAAGCUGGACAGAUCUCCUUGUGUUUGCUUGUUUUCUUCAUUGCCCUCUCCAUUCGCUGGCACAUACAAUGGCAACUCUGGGAUUUCUGACCCUGAACUAAACUGCUGCAGGGCUGAGCGAGAGACUUGGCAGCUUUUGCAGGUAAUCUUUGGGAAUGGGGGUACUAUUCUUGUGUAUAGAGCUGCAGGUUACU